AUUUUAGUAGCUUAGUGGUUAGAGUAUUAGCCUCCAACUCUAAGGUAUUGAGUUCGAAUCUUCGCUGAAAAG